GACGAACGCUGGCGGCGUGCCUAAUACAUGCAAGUAGAACGCUGAAGGAGGAGCUUGCUUCUCUGGAUGAGUUGCGAACGGGUGAGUAACGCGUAGGUAACCUGCCUGGUAGCGGGGGAUAUCUAUUGGAAACGAUAGCUAAUACCGCAUAAGAGUAGAUGUUGCAUGACAUUUGCUUAAAAGGUGCAAUUGCAUCACUACCAGAUGGACCUGCGUUGUAUUAGCUAGUUGGUGAGGUAACGGCUCACCAAGGCAACGAUACAUAGCCGACCUGAGAGGGUGAUCGGCCACGCUGGGACUGAGACACGGCCCAGACUCCUACGGGAGGCAGCAGUAGGGAAUCUUCAGCAAUGGACGGAAGUCUGACCGAGCAACGCCGCGUGAGUGAAGAAGGUUUUCGGAUCGUAAAGCUCUGUUGUAAGAGAAGAACGAGUGUGAGAGUGGAAAGUUCACACUGUGACGGUAUCUUACCAGAAAGGGACGGCUAACUACGUG
rnacentral:rRNA from 1 species